GGAUGUGAGGGUGAUCUGGCUGUAACAUGUCACCCCAUUGAUCGCCAGGGUUGAUUAGGCUGAUCUGGCUAGCUAGGUGGGUGACCCCUUUCUCCCUCACCGCUCCAUGUGCAUCCCUCCCAAAGUUGCACACUUGGUUGAAGAGGAUGACCAUCCCCAAUAGAGGAGGACCAUUUCCUCGGUCAAGGGUAUACAAGUAACUGUGCUACUCUGCUAGAAACUCUAUGCAAGCUCUCAAGAUAAGGAUCUUCCUAAAUCUUCACAUAAUAUAGCAUGACUCUAGCACAUCCUCCAAGUAACAAAGCUCCUAAUGACUUGGCCUGAGCCAGCCUCU
rnacentral:snRNA from 1 species